UACGUAGGGGGCGAGCGUUGUCCGGAUUUAUUGGGCGUAAAGAGCGUGUAGGCGGCCAGGUAGGUCUGCUGUGAAAACUCGAGGCUCAACCUCGAGACGUCGGCGGAAACCAUCUGGCUAGAGUCCGGAAGAGGAGAGUGGAAUUCCUGGUGUAGCGGUGAAAUGCGCAGAUAUCAAGAGGAACACCAAUGGCGAAGGCAGCUCGCUGGAACGGAACUGACGCUGAGGCGCGAAAGCGUGGGGAGCGAACAGG
rnacentral:rRNA from 1 species